rnacentral:hammerhead_ribozyme from 1 species
CAUUGGUUGAGAGCUGACGCCGCUCCCCUGAUGAGUCCAAGGCAGGACAAAACCAGUG